rnacentral:lncRNA from 1 species
GUCGCCUCGCCCCCGGGGCCGCACCCUGCUUCCCUGGGGAACACCCUGCCUCAGGCCUGCCUCCCCUCUUUAGAGUGAUUUGGUGGUGGAGACAUGACAUUCAUGGACUCAGAAGAACGGGAAGGAGUGAUGCUGAGUGAGUUAUAGUCUAAUUGUCACCUGCUACUUGUGGAAGGAAGAGAUGUUUGGCAUGGCACUGAUCAAUGUGUAUAUUUACUGGGAAGUUUACCCCAGGAGAAAAGAGAAAACCAGCUGUGUGAAUGGAAUUUGGAGAAAGUGUCUCAAUAAAACAAAACAAAUAAAAAGCCAGAAGGCUUAA